rnacentral:lncRNA from 1 species
AGCCUGUCAAGUAAAUGGGUCUGUAUUCUUUAGAAAACAACAGUCAGUAAGCACUUGGUGACACCAAUCACACAUCCUUGUGGACAAUCUCAAGGCCUUCAUUUCCUGAAGACACAAUUCAGCUCCCACAACAGCCAAGAUCACUUUAUGCCCUAAAUCGGCCUUUCCUAAGCUGUCAAUUUAUUCAUGACAGAAAGCAUUUCUACCUUUCAGAAAAUGGGAAGAAGCCAGCUCCAUCUCCUCCCAUUUGUACCCAAGAAAAUAGCAAAGUUGUCAUGAUCUACAAAGUUGUCUUUUUCCAUCAGAGGGAAAGAGGUGACUCAACACACAGGAUCGUCACAGGAAGGCUCCUGCUGACUGUAAACCUGUCAUCACUAGCAGCUGCUUGGAGAUGCUACCUGUGAUCUAGCACAGUUGAAACCCUUUUCAGACAGACAUCUCCCCAUUAUAAGUUGCUGUGUAAGACUUUGCCACGGAACAUCCUGUCAACUUUGAUAUCAUAGGUAAUAUGUUGCCUUUACAAUUCAGCAGGGCUGGAUUUCAUCGUGUCUGUUUUGAUCGUAUCAGGCUGGAUUUAAUAAAACUCUGAUCAACCUGGUAACAUGAAAAUAAGUGCAAACACUCACAGAUGAACUCUCUGUCAUUCUGGUAUCUGGAGCAAAUUACUGGCUGACUUAGGAGCAGGAGAGCUUUUAAUGGGAUUUAAGAUUUCAGUCUUUUCACUAUUUCCAUAUCUAUUAGGUGUAUCUGGGCUCUACUGAAUUGAACUAGAAAGUUUUAAACAAAGGAGAAGGAUUUGUCUGUAUCAACACUUAUUCAAGAUUUCUGCCACCACUGCCGAUAUGACCUUAGAAGAAAAUGCUCUACCAUGGCUGAUGAUUUCUCCCUUUAAGUAAGUUAGACAGCUAUGGAAUAUUAGACAGGAAAACAUGUGUUUUACAGAGAAGACUCAUUUAAGUACUUCUUGAGAAUGUAGGGAAUGAUGCUAUGUAGUAGCACCUUUUACUGCCAUGUGACUUUAUACAAAUAAAUCAUCUCCUUAUUUAUAUAUAUAUAUAUAUUGUCCUUAGUCUCUGUGAUUUGCCAGAACAUCAUUAGACUUCAAAUGAAUCUAAAAGUGCAGAGCUGUUAUAAAAAGAUACCAGGAAUACUGAGUGGGUUACUGAAGAUGAAUGA